GCAUUGUACCAUUACCACCGGGAACCGAUCACUGUAACCAACCAAGUGGUCAGUCCUAGUCAUGACACCCGUUUUCUUUUGUCAACCUUCGUGGGUUCAGGCACUGCACGAAGCCAUUUAUUUUUGUAAAGUCUAUUGAAAUGUUGGCUUAAUUUUGAUUACCCAUUUAAAGUUAAAGAGGUAGAACUUCAAUGAUUUUUAUAUAAGCCCAAUGAUGGGGCUGGGUCUGUACAUAUGGUUGUUUAUCACCGAUGCUACAACAUAUGGUUUGGAGCUUUAUCUAUUUUCCAUGAUGAAUGUGAUGUAUAAGAGGUCCUGGCAUGUAGAUGUAGCUCAAUGGAAUUUAUAUGUAUAGUUAUUUUCCUACUUUAUGCUUC